rnacentral:lncRNA from 1 species
AUGAGCCUUGUUGACUCAGAUUGGAUUGUGGUGGUUGGCAGUGAGUUGAGGGAGGAGAAGAUUGCGACAGAUGACAGGUCUUGGAUUGUUCCUUGCUAGGUUGGUUGGCGGAUUGGCUAAGUCGUAAGGUCUGAGGUUGUCUGGUGCUGACGAGCUUAUAUCGGCAGGAUUGAGAACAAUUGUACUUGGAACUAAUCAGAAUGUUCCGAUUUGGUUUGCGUCUAAUCACUCUAAUGGAUUUUAUCUGGGGAAGGGGUUGAUUGGGAUGAGUGGCGCUUCUCAAUAUAUGGCAUGAUCAAGAUGGUGGAGCGAUGAUAGCGAAAGUGACCGUGCGACGAAGCGGGUGGUUGAGAUGGGUUUGGCCUGCUGGUUGUUGGUCUAUGAUCUUCUUGCUUUCUUGGCAGAUGCUUGGGUUUGAGCCUUGCCUAGACUUUCCUUUUUAUCUUUUUUGUUAGUGUUGUUUACUUUAAUCGUU